rnacentral:rRNA from 1 species
UAAGGUGGUUAUUGCGGCGGGGCUCACCUCUUCCCAUCCCGAACAGAGAAGUUAAGCCCGCCAGCGCAGAUGGUACUGCAGUUAUGUGGGAGAGUAUGUCGUCGCCUUUC